rnacentral:rRNA from 1 species
GACGAACGCUGGCGGCGUGCCUAAUACAUGCCAGUUGAGCGCUGAAGGUUGGUACUUGUACCAACUGGAUGAGCAGCGAACGGGUGAGUAACGCGUGGGGAAUCUGCCUUUGAGCGGGGGACAACAUUUGGAAACGAAUGCUAAUACCGCAUAAAAACUUUAAACACAAGUUUUAAGUUUGAAAGAUGCAAUUGCAUCACUCAAGGAUGAUCCCGCGUUGUAUUAGCUAGUUGGUGAGGUAAAGGCUCACCAAGGCGAUGAUACAUAGCCGACCUGAGAGGGUGAUCGGCCACAUUGGGACUGAGACACGGCCCAAACUCCUACGGGAGGCAGCAGUAGGGAAUCUUCGGCAAUGGACGAAAGUCUGACCGAGCAACGCCGCGUGAGUGAAGAAGGUUUUCGGAUCGUAAAACUCUGUUGGUAGAGAAGAACGUUGGUGAGAGUGGAAAGCUCAUCAAGUGACGGUAACUACCCAGAAAGGGACGGCUAACUACGUG